rnacentral:rRNA from 1 species
UGCAGUCGAGGGGUAUAGGUUUUCGGACCUAGAGACCGGCGCACGGGUGCGUAACGCGUAUGCAAUCUACCUUUUACAGAGGGAUAGCCCAGAGAAAUUUGGAUUAAUACCUCAUAGUAUUACGACUCGGCAUCGAGAUGUAAUUAAAGUCACAACGGUAAAAGAUGAGCAUGCGUCCCAUUAGCUUGUUGGUAAGGUAACGGCUUACCAAGGCAACGAUGGGUAGGGGUCCUGAGAGGGAGAUCCCCCACACUGGUACUGAGACACGGACCAGACUCCUACGGGAGGCAGCAGUGAGGAAUAUUGGUCAAUGGGCGCAAGCCUGAACCAGCCAUGCCGCGUGCAGGAUGACGGUCCUAUGGAUUGUAAACUGCUUUUGUACAGGAAGAAACAGUUCUACGUGUAGAACCUUGACGGUACUGUAAGAAUAAGGAUCGGCUAACUCCGUGCCAGCAGCCGCGGUAAUACGGAGGAUCCAAGCGUUAUCCGGAAUCAUUGGGUUUAAGGGGUCCGUAGGCGGUUUUGUAAGUCAGUGGUGAAAGCCCAUCGCUCAACGGUGGAACGGCCAUUGAUACUGCAAGACUUGAAUUAUUAGGAAGUAACUAGAAUAUGUAGUGUAGCGGUGAAAUGCUUAGAGAUUACAUGGAACACCAAUUGCGAAGGCAGGUUACUACUAAUAUAUUGACGCUGAUGGACGAAAGCGUGGGGAGCGAACAGGAUUAGAUACCCUGGUAGUCCACGCCGUAAACGAUGGAUACUAGCUGUUCGGAGCAAUCUGAGUGGCUAAGCGAAAGUGAUAAGUAUCCCACCUGGGGAGUACGUUCGCAAGAAUGAAACUCAAAGGAAUUGACGGGGGCCCGCACAAGCGGUGGAGCAUGUGGUUUAAUUCGAUGA